rnacentral:rRNA from 1 species
UACGUAGGGGGCAAGCGUUAUCCGGAUUUACUGGGUGUAAAGGGAGCGUAUACGGCCAGACAAGUCUGAAGUGAAAAUCCAGCGCUUAACGUUGGAAGUGCUUUGGAAACUGCCGGGCUGGAGUGCAGGAGGGGCAGGCGGAAUUCCUAGUGUGGCGGUGAAAUGCGUAGAUAUUAGGAGGAACACCAGUGGCGAAGGCGGCCUGCUGGACUGCAACUGACGUUGAGGCUCGAAGGCGUGGGGAGCAAACAGG